UGAUUGUAACCAGCACCAUUAGCAGGCAU
rnacentral:piRNA from 1 species